rnacentral:rRNA from 1 species
GAUGAACGCUGGCGGCGUGCCUAAUACAUGCAAGUCGAGCGAACGGACGAGAAGCUUGCUUCUCUGAUGUUAGCGGCGGACGGGUGAGUAACACGUGGAUAACCUACCUAUAAGACUGGGAUAACUUCGGGAAACCGUAGCUAAUACCGGAUAAUAUUUUGAACCGCAUGGUUCAAAAGUGAAAGACGGUCUUGCUGUCACUUAUAGAUGGAUCCGCGCUGCAUUAGCUAGUUGGUAAGGUAGCGGCUUACCAAGGCAACGAUGCAUAGCCGACCUGAGAGGGUGAUCGGCCACACUGGAACUGAGACACGGUCCAGACUCCUACGGGAGGCAGCAGUAGGGAAUCUUCCGCAAUGGGCGAAAGCUUGACGGAGCAACGCCGCGUGAGUGAUGAAGGUCUUCGGAUCGUAAAACUCUUUUAUUAGGGAAGAACAUAUGUGUAAGUAACUGUGCACAUCUUGACGGUACCUAAUCAGAAAGCCACGGCUAACUACGUG